AGCGAACGCUGGCGGCAGGCUUAACAUAUGCAAGUCGAACGGGCAUCUUCGGAUGUCAGUGGCAGACGGGUGAGUAACACGUGGGAACGUACCCUUCGGUUCGGAAUAACUCAGGGAAACUUGAGCUAAUACCGGAUACGCCCUUUUGGGGAAAGGUUUACUGCCGAAGGAUCGGCCCGCGUCUGAUUAGCUUGUUGGUGGGGUAACGGCCUACCAAGGCGACGAUCAGUAGCUGGUCUGAGAGGAUGAUCAGCCACACUGGGACUGAGACACGGCCCAGACUCCUACGGGAGGCAGCAGUGGGGAAUAUUGGACAAUGGGCGCAAGCCUGAUCCAGCCAUGCCGCGUGAGUGAUGAAGGCCUUAGGGUUGUAAAGCUCUUUUGUCCGGGACGAUAAUGACGGUACCGGAAGAAUAAGCCCCGGCUAACUUCGUG
rnacentral:rRNA from 1 species